rnacentral:tRNA from 2 species
AUUUAAAUAGCUUAUAAAUAGAGUAUAAUAUUGAAGAUAUUAGGGAGAUCAAUGAUCUUUAAAUA